rnacentral:lncRNA from 1 species
CUGUCACCAACAUCCAUUAUAAAGACUCAUUGAGUCAAUAUUUAUGUAUAGUCAAACUUCAGUAGCCUCACUAUGAGCAGCUGUAACACCAUAAGUCAAAGGAUCAGUCACACUACUGCAGCAUCGAGAAAGUCAUGAACGAGCAGACAUCCAUGUGACUUUUCAUGUUGGUCAUACUCAGUGCUAGUUAUUCUCAAACAACCACCUACACUCUCACUCCAGUAUUACUACACCGCAGACUCAAGACUCAUCUGCUCGAAGGAAGCGAUCCAUAUACUGGUCUAUCUGGAUCAAUCAUCAUCCCCAUGAUGAUCCUAUAACUAGGAGCA